rnacentral:tRNA from 1 species
GGGGAUUUAGCUCAAUGGCAAAAGCACCUGACUUGCAAUCAGGUGGUCGUAAGUUCAAUCCCCG